UACAGAGGUCUCAAGCGUUGUUCGGAUUCACUGGGCGUAAAGGGUGCGCAGGUGGGCUGUCAAGUUUGAUGUGAAAGCCCCGGGCUUAACCCGGGAAUGGCAUUGAAUACUGAUGGUCUGGAGGAUUGGAGGGGGGACUGGAAUUCUUGGUGUAGCAGUGAAAUGCGUAGAUAUCAAGAGGAACACCAGUGGCGAAGGCGAGUCCCUGGACAAUUCCUGACACUGAGGCACGAAAGCCAAGGGAGCAAACAGG
rnacentral:rRNA from 1 species